UACGGAGGGUGCGAGCGUUAAUCGGAAUGACUGGGCGUAAAGCGUACGCAGGCGGUCUGUUAAGUCAGAUGUGAAAUCCCCGGGCUCAACCUGGGAACUGCAUUUGAAACUGGCAGGCUAGAGUCUCGUAGAGGGGGGUAGAAUUCCAGGUGUAGCGGUGAAAUGCGUAGAGAUCUGGAGGAAUACCGGUGGCGAAGGCGGCCCCCUGGACGAAGACUGACGCUCAGGUACGAAAGCGUGGGGAGCAAACAGG
rnacentral:rRNA from 1 species